UGGGGAAUAUUGGACAAUGGGGGAAACCCUGAUCCAGCGACGCCGCGUGAGUGAAGAAGUAUUUCGGUAUGUAAAGCUCUAUCAGCAGGGAAGAUGAUGACGGUACCUGACUAAGAAGCACCGGCUAAAUACGUGCCAGCAGCCGCGGUAAUACGUAUGGUGCAAGCGUUAUCCGGAUUUACUGGGUGUAAAGGGAGUGUAGGUGGCGUGGCAAGUCAGAUGUGAAAGCCCGGGGCUCAACCCCGGGACUGCAUUUGAAACUGUCAUACUGGAGUGCAGGAGAGGAAAGGGGAAUUCCUAGUGUAGCGGUGAAAUGCGUAGAUAUUAGGAGGAACACCAGUGGCGAAGGCGGCUUUCUGGACUGUUACUGACACUGAGGCUCGAAAGCUAGGGGAGCAAACA
rnacentral:rRNA from 1 species